rnacentral:rRNA from 1 species
AUUGAACGCUGGCGGCAUGCCUUACACAUGCAAGUCGAACGGUAACGGGCCUUCGGGUGCCGACGAGUGGCGAACGGGUGAGUAAUGUAUCGGAACGUACCUUUCAGUGGGGGAUAACGUAGCGAAAGUUACGCUAAUACCGCAUAUUCUGUGAGCAGGAAAGCAGGGGAUCGCAAGACCUUGCGCUCUGGGAGCGGCCGAUGUCGGAUUAGCUAGUUGGUGGGGUAAAGGCCUACCAAGGCGACGAUCCGUAGCGGGUCUGAGAGGAUGAUCCGCCACACUGGGACUGAGACACGGCCCAGACUCCUACGGGAGGCAGCAGUGGGGAAUUUUGGACAAUGGGGGCAACCCUGAUCCAGCCAUGCCGCGUGAGUGAAGAAGGCCUUCGGGUUGUAAAGCUCUUUCGGCCGGGAAAAAAUCGCAUCAGUUAAUACCUGGUGUGGAUGAUGGUACCGGAAUAAGAAGCACCGGCUAACUACGUG